UGGGGAAUAUUGGACAAUGGGGGCAACCCUGAUCCAGCCAUGCCGCGUGUGUGAAGAAGGCCUUUUGGUUGUAAAGCACUUUAAGCAGGGAGGAGAGGCUAAUGGUUAAUACCCAUUAGAUUAGACGUUACCUGCAGAAUAAGCACCGGCUAACUCUGUGCCAGCAGCCGCGGUAAUACAGAGGGUGCGAGCGUUAAUCGGAAUUACUGGGCGUAAAGCGAGUGUAGGUGGCUCAUUAAGUCACAUGUGAAAUCCCCGGGCUUAACCUGGGAACUGCAUGUGAUACUGGUGGUGCUAGAAUAUGUGAGAGGGAAGUAGAAUUCCCAGGUGUAGCGGUGAAAUGCGUAGAGAUCUGGAGGAAUACCGAUGGCGAAGGCAGCUUCCUGGCAUAAUAUUGACACUGAGAUUCGAAAGCGUGGGUAGCAAAACAGGAUUAGAUACCCUGGUAGUCCACGCCGUAAACGAUGUCUACUAGCCGUUGGGGUCCUUGAGACUUUAGUGGCGCAGUUAACGCGAUAAGUAGACCGCCU
rnacentral:rRNA from 1 species